UGAGAGGUCUAUCCUGACGCAUGUUUUAUUUUUUUGUUCAUCCUGCUUCAGGUUACACCUUCUCAAA
rnacentral:pre_miRNA from 1 species